rnacentral:rRNA from 1 species
AUUGAACGCUGGCGGCAUGCCUUACACAUGCAAGUCGAACGGCAGCACGGGAGCAAUCCUGGUGGCGAGUGGCGAACGGGUGAGUAAAGUAUCGGAACGUGCCCAGUCGUGGGGGAUAACGUAGCGAAAGUUACGCUAAUACCGCAUACGAUCUAUGGAUGAAAGCGGGGGAUCGCAAGACCUCGCGCGAUUGGAGCGGCCGAUAUCAGAUUAGGUAGUUGGUGGGGUAAAGGCUCACCAAGCCGACGAUCUGUAGCUGGUCUGAGAGGACGACCAGCCACACUGGGACUGAGACACGGCCCAGACUCCUACGGGAGGCAGCAGUGGGGAAUUUUGGACAAUGGGCGAAAGCCUGAUCCAGCCAUGCCGCGUGCAGGAUGAAGGCCUUCGGGUUGUAAACUGCUUUUGUACGGAACGAAAAGGUUUGGCCUAAUAAGCUGAGCUCAUGACGGUACCGUAAGAAUAAGCACCGGCUAACUACGUGCCAGCAGCCGCGGUAACAC